CUACGGGAUGCACCAGUGGGGAAUAUUGCACAAUGGGCGCAAGCCUGAUGCAGCAACGCCGCGUGAGGGAUGAAGGCCUUCGGGUUGUAAACCUCUUUUAGCAGGGAAGAAGCGAAAGUGACGGUACCUGCAGAAAAAGCACCGGCUAACUACGUGCCAGCAGCCGCGGUAAUACGUAGGGUGCAAGCGUUGUCCGGAAUUAUUGGGCGUAAAGAGCUCGUAGGCGGUUUGUCACGUCUGCUGUGAAAAUCCAAGGCUCAACCUUGGACUUGCAGUGGGUACGGGCAGGCUAGAGUGCGGUAGGGGGGAUGGGAAUUCCUGGUGUAGCGGUGGCAUGCGCAGAUAUCAGGAGGAACACCAAUGGCGAAGGCACAUCUCUGGGCCGUAACUGACGCUGAGGAGCGAAAGCGUGGGGAGCGAACAGGAUUAGAUACCCGCGUAGUC
rnacentral:rRNA from 1 species